CCAUUAUGAUCAGAUUUCCAGUGCAAAAGUCCAUAGAAACUAAUUAAAAAAUUGCUUUCCAUGGGUAUUUGUGUGUGAGAGCUUAAAGUUCUGUUCCUUGGAUCAUUCCACCACAUGAAAGCAAACACAAAGGCAGGGAAAAACAGAGGAAGCAUUUCCUGUUAAGAUGUGGCUGAACAUUCAUGGCGCAUUUUGUGCUUUAUUUGCCCUACCUUUGACCGUAACCAUUAGGAUGACCAUAUUGGUCACCUUUUUUUGUCAGUGAACACAUAAUGAGAAUUUAAAGCUCAAUCUUUAAGAUCUAACUUGGCCAAAACUCUUAUAAACACCCAGAUUCUGUUUAGGAAUCUUUGUGCUUCUAACUCUUGUGAUUUUUUUUGUGAAUCUUACAUUAUUUUGUGCUUUCCUUAAAUCCCCAGCUCCUGGACUCCUGUGAUUAUGUGAGACGCUCAGCUUUCAUUAUUAAAAAGGUUGUUGGAUUCUUUAAAGGAAUGUCUUUCCCAUUGGCCAGCAUUGCUGUCUACAGCUCGGUGACAUUUGGUGUCUUCAGCAAUACUCAAAGGUUUAUUAGCCAGCAGCGCUAUGGAGAUUCUAACCAUGCCCCGGCACUCUCGGACUUGAUCGUUGCCAGCAUGGUAGCAGGGGUUAUCUCGGUAGGAAUUGGUGGGCCUGUGGACCUGAUAAAGAUAAGACUACAGAUGCAGACACAGACAUUUUUUAAAGCAAACAUAAACUUAAAGCACAGGGCAAUUGGGUUUCCCGCAUACAGAGGCCCAAUUCACUGUGUUAGUUCAAUCCUUCGGCAGGAGGGCUUAGCUGGAAUGUACCGAGGUGCCGGAGCAAUGCUUCUGAGGGAUGUUCCUGGGUAUUGCCUAUACUUCAUCCCUUAUACAGUUCUCUGUGGCUGGAUUACUCCCGAGGGAUGCAUAUCUCCUAGUCCCUCUUCUGUGUGGAUGGCAGGAGGUAUAGCAGGAGCAAUUUCCUGGGGGACUGCUACUCCGAUGGAUGUUGUGAAAAGUCGACUUCAAGCUGAUGGGGUUUAUUUAAACAAAUACAAAGGAAUCAUUGAUUGUAUCUCCCAGAGCUACCAUAGUGAGGGCUUAAAAGUCUUUGUUAGGGGCCUCACAGUCAACGCAGUGCGAGGAUUCCCGAUGAGUGCAGCCAUGUUUCUUGGAUAUGAACUUUCACGCAAAGCACUAAGAGGAGAGCAAGCUGCGACCAAUCCUUAACAUCCAGCACAGAGCAAAGGAGCACAGAAGACUUAGAAACUAGACCCAUUAUCCUGCACCAUUAAGUCAAUGGGAGCUUUACUAUUGGCUUCAAUGAGCACAGGAUCAAGCCCCAGCAGAGGAAAGGGGGAAGAACCAGCAGAACGUGCUGCCUGCUGUCCCCAUGUCUGAGCAUGCCCAUCUCUACCAGAGCAAGAACGUCUCCACCAUCAGUCUAGUCCUGGAUCCAUGUGGCUGGGGCCACUCUUACUGCUGGAUCCCAAUAAAACCUUCACAUGUGUUUGCCCUGCAAGAUUUCCCUAUUGUCUCCUUUAUUUCACCCUCCAAGGUUCAGUAACUGGCCAGCCCUGUAGUGCCAUUUCAGCCAGCUCCUAUCCCCAACGUUCUCCCAGUACUACUCCAGGAUUGGACACAGAAGACCAGCCCCUGUUUGAGAAACACUGGCCUAAAUAUUAACUCAAAGCUGGAAGCUGCAGGAGGGCACCAAAAAUUGCACUUUCACGCAGCUUACACAUUAAUGUGAUUUAGCUCUGACACGUGAUAUUGCAGAGAGCAAUGAGGACGAUCUGCCUUUAACUCUUUAUUUCUAGGGACUUUUUUUUUUAUGGAAAGAUGAAAAUAUAGAUCAAAAUAAACAGAACAAAAGCAAACAAUUAUUCACCUAGCUAUAUAGAGAAUUUACAUCACAUGAAACAAUUUGUAAAAUGUACUGACUGUAUCUAGAUAUUCCAUUUCAUCCUGUAGAGUAGAUGUGUGUAUCUACUGAUUAUUUUUUGUGUAAAAAUGUGAAUAGCUGUGUUAGAAAUGACGUAGGAACAUGCCUCAGGUCCAGUGCAUUAUAGAACUUAAUUUUGUGGGCUAAGAAAUACAAGCAGAGUAAGACUGCUUGACACCUGCAAUGUUGUUACAUCUGUUCACUGUGCCUUAGGGUUUCUUUUAAUGCAUGAUAUCACUUAAGGACCUGAUUCUGCCACCCUUCUUCAUGCUGAGUAGGUGAGUAAUCCCAUUUGAAUAGGGUUGCCAGGCAUCCGGUUUUCAAUCAGAAUGCCCCGUCGAAAAGGGACUGUGGCGGCUCUGGUCGGCACUGCUGACUGGGCUAUUAAAAAUCCGGUCAGUGGCACAGCAGGGGCCCAGGGCUAAGGCAGGCUCCCUGCCUGCCCUAGCUCUGUGCGGCUCCUGGAAGCGGCCACCAAGUCCCUGCGACCCCUAGGUGCAUGGGCAGCCAGGGAGGCGCCGUGCACUGCCCCUGCCCCAGUGCUGGCUCUGCAGCUCCCAUUGGCCGGGAACCACAACCAGUGGGAGCUGUGGGGGCGGCACCUGCAGGCUGUGAGGGCAGCGCUUGGAGCCUCUCUGGCCGCCCAUGUGCCUAGGGGCUGCAGGGACGUGGCAACCACUUCCUGGGAGCUGCAGUAACUGCCACUGGGACCCUGAAACCCCUCCCAUACGCCUGUCUCAGCCUGGAGUCCCCUCCUGCACCACGUGCUCCCACACACACCACAACCCCCUGCCCCAGCCCUGAGCCCCCUCCCGCAUCCCAAAGCCCUCAUUCCUGGCCCCACCCCAGAGCCCGCACUCCCAGCUGGAGCCCUCACCCCCUCCUGCACCCCAGUCCCCUGCCCCAGCCCGGUGAAAGUGAGUGAGGGUGGGAGAGAGCAAGCGACAGAGAGGGGGGGAGGAAUGAGCAGGGGUAGGGCCUCAGAGAAGGGGCAGGGCCUUGAGGGAGGGGCAGGGGUGUUCAGUUUUGUGCCAUUUGAAAGUUGGCAACCCUACAUUGGAACUACAUGUCUGAAUAAGCGCAUGAGGAAGUGAGCAGAAAUGGGUUCUACAUGUUUAUGAAAGGUACAUCCUGGAGCCAACUGUGCUCCUGGAAAGCAGUGCAUGAUGGGAAAUCUCCUACAGGGCAGAUGGGAUGUUAAGGCUUUAGACCUUUUAGUGUAUGGAUAAUAUUGUUCAAUUAAGAAAAAAAAAAACCCAGACUCAAGUGGAAUAGGCACUUUUUGCUAGGACACAGGUCCACUGAGAUUGCUAAGCAUUUUUAAAAUGUUGGGGCUAUUGUAGGGGAAGGACUCAGUCCAGCAAAAACAUUUAAGACCAAAUUAAGCAAAUGUUUAUGUGCUUUGCUGGAGUGGGGUCUAUGGGAGGAGAGCUGGAGGGAUUUGGGAACAGACUCUCACUAUAGGAUUUCCUUGUAUUACAACAUUUGUACAAGUGCUAAUCAAUGUGUAUUUUAAAAUCCUUUGUUCUUAUGCUUUAUUCUUUUCAGUCCUCCUUGCAUAUACAGCACUGAGAGCAACAUGGGUUUCUCACAAUUAUUUUUAUUGGUGUUUUUCCAUUUGGAGCAAUAUAAGCCAGCCUGAGAUAGGUCCUGCAGUGCUUACUCAGCCAAACUCACAUUAAAUAGAAGCCUGCAGGAAUGGGCCAUAACAUAGUAGCAUAUUACCUUAGUGGCAAAGAAGGAGGGGGAGAGAAAGUUAAAUAAUAAAACAGAAAAGAGAAGAGGUGGGGAAAAAAGUAAAAUAUUAAACAGGUGAAAGCACUGACCACAUGAUGGCACCAUACCCUGUCGGAAGAAAUAGGAAAAGGCAGCUUAUUACAAAAUAACUGCAGGAGUUGAGACCACUCAGAACUCUGCCUGGCUUCAUUCAAAAUGCUGACCAGGCUUGCAGGAAACAGGUCUGAUCAAAACGUGUCCCAGUUUGACAGAAUCAUUUGCAGGCACUGGACAAAUCUUUUGAUGAGCUUAGCUUGAGUUUAACAAAACCAUAAACUAAGCAAAACACCGCAGUGUUGUUUCAUGACACUUUCACGCAGAUUUGCUGCUCGGACUUCUUUACAGCAUUGGUGGCUCAGUGACAGAAUUCUUGUCGGCCAUGCAGGUGGUCUGGCUUUGAGUCUCAGCCAAAGCAUCGGUUCUGCGGUGGGCUUGAUGCCGAAAUUAGGGAGUGAAGUUCUACGGCUUGGUUAUGGAGAUCAGACUAGAUAAUCAUAAUGGUACCUGCUGGGAUUCAAGUCUAUGGAGACGGACUCCGAAAAGGUUUAAAACCUGUCUUCAAAGUAAUAAAGAAUGAAGGGCUUAAAACAUGUCAUUAUAAUCUGUCAGAAAUGAAGAUAUGAAUUUUUUUUCUACAACUCGGAGUGAAAUGUCAUCUCCCCAAUUUCUUUGAACAUCCAGGCAGAAAACUCUGAAACCUGCGACUGUAGUCUGACUAAUUCAUGUUUAUGUCUUCCCAUUUCUUGGAUUGGUUGUGAAUUGUCGUGCUUUGUGGAUGGAUUUAAAAGAAUGAAUGAAACGCUGCAAGUUGGUUUCAGCGUGAGGGAUAAGAUUCGUCACGUUCAUCGAUCGCUUUCGCUACUGCAGAAAAAAAAGUGCAAAAAUCUCCUGUCCUGUAGAGGACCCUGUCACUCAAAUUCCACUGGGAACAUAGAGAAAUUCUUAACACUCGUCAAAACAACCUUUCAGCAAGUGAACAAGGAGAAAAGCAGGAAAAAAUGACAAAGGAGAAAAAAUGUUAUUUAUUGUAUUUAUUAUCUAAA